rnacentral:misc_RNA from 1 species
AGCAGCCGCGGUAAUUCCAGCUCCAAUAGCGUACAUUAAAGUUGUUGCAGUUAAAAAGCUCGUAGUUGAAUUUCGGGAUUGGCGCAUCGGUCGUGCCUUACGGGGUAUGAACUGGUGCAGUCAAUUUCUCACCUUCUGGAGAACCGCGAUGUCCUUAAUUGGAUGCCGCGGGGAACCAGGACCUUUACUUUGAAAAAAUUAGAGUGUUUAAAGCAGGCAUUUUUGCUUGAAUACAUUAGCAUGGAAUAAUAAAAUAGGACGGCAUGGUUCUAUUUUGUUGGUUUCUAGGACCACCGUAAUGAUUAAUAGGGAUAGUUGGGGGCAUUAGUAUUCAAUUGUCAGAGGUGAAAUUCUUGGAUUUAUUGAAGACUAACUACUGCGAAAGCAUUUGCCAAGGAUGUUUUCAUUAAUCAAGAACGAAAGUUAGGGGAUCGAAGACGAUCAGGUACCGUCGUAGUCUUAACCAUAAACUAUGCCGACUAGGAAUCAGACGAUGUUAAUUUUUUAAUGACUCGUUUGG